GAUGAACGCUAGCGGUAGGCUUAACACAUGCAAGUCGAAGGGCAGCACAUGGUAGCUUGCUAUCUGGGUGGCGAACGGCGCACGGAUGCGUAACGCGUAUGCCACUUGCCCUAUACAUGAGGCUAACCCGUCGGAAGACGUACUAAUACUGCGUAUGCUCACAACUUGGCAUCUAGUGGAGAGGUAAGAGAUUCGGUAUAGGAUAGGCAUGCGUCCGAUUAGCUUGUUGGUGAGGUAACGGCUCACCAAGGCAGCGAAGGGUAGGGGAACUGAGAGGUUGAUCCCCCACACUGGUACUGAGAAACGGACCAGACUCAUACGGGAGGCAGCAGUGAGGAAUAUUGGUGAAUGGGCGCGAGCCUGAACCAGGCAAGCCGCGUGAAGGAUGACUGCCUUAUGGAUUGUAACCUUCUUUUAGUCGGGAAUAACCAGAGUCACCGGUGAGUCCCUGCAUGUAGCGUAUGAAUAAGCACCGGCUAACUACGUG
rnacentral:rRNA from 1 species